AACGAACGUUGGCGGCAGGCCUAACACAUGCAAGUCGAGCGAGGACUUCGGUUCUAGCGGCGGACGGGUGAGUAACGCGUGGGAAUGUGCCCUUCUCUACGGAAUAGCCCUGGGAAACUGGGAGUAAUACCGUAUACGCUCUAUCGGGGAAAGAUUUAUCGGAAAAGGAUCAGCCCGCGUUGGAUUAGGUAGUUGGUGGGGUAAUGGCCUACCAAGCCGACGAUCCAUAGCUGGUUUGAGAGGAUGAUCAGCCACACUGGGACUGAGACACGGCCCAGACUCCUACGGGAGGCAGCAGUGGGGAAUCUUAGACAAUGGGGGCAACCCUGAUCGAGCCAUGACGCGUGAGUGAUGAAGGCCUUAGGGUUGUAAAGCUCUUUCAGCUGGGAAGAUAAUGACGGUACCAGCAGAAGAAGCCCCGGCUAACUCCGUG
rnacentral:rRNA from 1 species